rnacentral:rRNA from 1 species
CUACGGGAGGCAGCAGUGGGGAAUAUUGGACAAUGGGCGCAAGCCUGAUCCAGCAAUGCCGCGUGAGUGAUGAAGGCCUUCGGGUUGUAAAGCUCUUUCGCACGCGACGAUGAUGACGGUAGCGUGAGAAGAAGCCCCGGCUAACUUCGUGCCAGCAGCCGCGGUAAUACGAAGGGGGCUAGCGUUGUUCGGAAUUACUGGGCGUAAAGGGCGCGUAGGCGGUACUUCAAGUCAGGCGUGAAAGCCCCGGGCUCAACCUGGGAACCGCGCUUGAGACUGGAGAACUAGAGUUCGGGAGAGGAUGGUGGAAUUCCCAGUGUAGAGGUGAAAUUCGUAGAUAUUGGGAAGAACACCGAUGGCGAAGGCAGCCAUCUGGACCGACACUGACGCUGAGGCGCGAAAGCGUGGGGAGCAAACAGGAUUAGAUACCCUGGUAGUCCACGCCGUAAACGAUGAGUGCUAGAC